rnacentral:piRNA from 1 species
UCCAGUACAGCCUUGAGAGUGUGGUGCAA